GGCGCCUCCUUCUCCCACAUCUAACUCUCUCUCUCUCCGCCGAAGUUCGGCUACGGCGUCACCGGCGAGGACGCCGGCAGGCACCGCGUCUUCCUCCCUCUUCAUUCUCUCUAUCCCGGUUUCUCUUUCUCUCUCUGCCGUCGGAGCUCGGCUGCCUCCGAAGAGGAGCCCCCCCCCCCUUCGCCGGAUCUCCGCCGCCCAGGCAUCGGGGUCGCCGAGUUAGUGGAGAAGAAAGCAGUCGGGUUUUGCUCGGGGAAGAGGGCAGCGUUGGGCUGCUCGGUACGAGGCACCGGUGAUCGGUCAGCGAGCUCUGGGCCACGGCGGCGUCGCCGGGCAGCAGCUGCGGGGGUAGGGAGCUGGGUGUGUGCGGCUGCUGAGGGACAGCAGCGCGUAUGCGUGUGUGGCUGCCACGAGGGCAGCAAGGUGUGCGGGUUGCCGGAGACAGCAGCAGUGGCUGCUCCGGGUGACAGCAGCGGCGCCUUCCGGUAGUUCGGUGUCCAGCGGUGCACUCUUAAAAGCUAAGUUCUUUACUUCUUUGUUAUCUAAUUUUCAUCUUAAGCAUUCUAUGUUUCUUUGAACAUGUUAUGGGCUAAUGUUAUGAAAACACUUUGGAUACAUUUGAUUGUAAAGUUGGUUUAGAAGCCGUAUCCAUGUAUAUAGGAAAAAAAAAGUGUAGCAAUGGUAUUGACUAAGAGUCCAAUGUUGUUCAAAGUCUAAGAAAAACUUGGUCUAACAAUGUUGAUAAAGAUGAGAGUAAUUGGAUAAGUUUUACUACAUGAUGUAAUGAAAAGCAAAUGUGAAGUAAAACUUAGGAAUUUAAAUGGUUAAGGAUAAGUACCUUGAGGAAGAAAGGAAUGUAGUGUGUAAAGACUUAAUCCUCCUUCUUCAAGCACAUACUAGCAUCAUUUCUUGAGAUGAGUUUUGUUUGGAGAAUUUAGAUGGUGAAUCAAAAGUGUAAGUGAUGAGGUUGUGUGGUAUUUAUAUAGGAAAAGAAUGCAUGAAUUUACAUGGUUAAUAGCUUGGUUUAGCAAGGAAAUGUAUCGUCCAAGAGUUAUGGACUUUUUGCUAAAUGAGGCUGUCUUGUCAAACAUCUCUUUUUCCUAAAAAGGAAAGAAUAUUAUGUCUCGUCGCUUAAAAAGACGUGAGCCGUCAUUUGGAAAACGUGAGCCGCCGUUUGAUUUGCGUGUUUGAUGUGAUUUGAUUUUGUCGAUCAUCUCGUCUUGAUUUAACACGUAUCUUAUCCAUUCAUGUAGGUAUCGGGAUUCAAGGCGUGACUAUUGCGCAAGAUCCGAAGGGCAUGGAGAGUAUUUUUAUUUUUAAUUAAUCUUUACUCAAACGUUGAACUCGUGUACGAACUUUUAUUUGAAACUCGGUCUUCACAAACGGACUUUUAUUAGAGCAAACUUUAUAUUAAAAUAUUACUAUUUUUUAUCACUA